GCGUAAGCGCACGCAGGCGGUCUGUUAAGUCAGAUGUGAAAUCCCCGGGCUUAACCUGGGAACUGCAUUUGAAACUGGCAGGCUUGAGUCUCGUAGAGGGGGGUAGAAUUCCAGGUGUAGCGGUGAAAUGCGUAGAGAUCUGGAGGAAUACCGGUGGCGAAGGCGGCCCCCUGGACGAAGACUGACGCUCAGGUGCGAAAGCGUGGGGAGCAAACAGGAUUAGAUACCCUGGUAGUCCACGCCGUAAACGAUGUCGACUUGGAGGUUGUGCCCUUGAGGCGUGGCUUCCGGAGCUAACGCGUUAAGUCGACCGCCUGGGGAGUACGGCCGCAAGGUUAAAACUCAAAUGAAUUGACGGGGGCCCGCACAAGCGGUGGAGCAUGUGGUUUAAUUCGAUGCAACGCGAAGAACCUUACCUGGCCUUGACAUCCAGAGAACUUAGCAGAGAUGCUUUGGUGCCUUCGGGAACUCUGAGACAGGUGCUGCAUGGCUGUCGUCAGCUCGUGUUGUGAAAUGUUGGGUUAAGUCCCGCAACGAGCGCAACCCUUAUCCUUUGUUGCCAGCGGUUCGGCCGGGAACUCAAAGGAGACUGCCGGUGAUAAACCGGAGGAAGGUGGGGAUGACGUCAAGUCAUCAUGCCCCUUACGGCCAGGGCUACACACGUGCUACAAUGGCGCAUACAAAGAGAAGCGACCUCGCGAGAGCCAGCGG
rnacentral:rRNA from 1 species